rnacentral:rRNA from 1 species
UACGGAGGGUGCGAGCGUUGUCCGGAAUCACUGGGCGUAAAGGGCGCGUAGGCGGCCUGGUAAGUCGGGGGUGAAAUCCUGCGGCUUAACCGCAGGGCUGCCUUCUAAACUGUCAGGCUCGAGCACAGUAGAGGCAGGUGGAAUUCCCGGUGUAGCGGUGGAAUGCGUAGAGAUCAGGAAGAACACCGGUGGCGAAAGCGCUUUGCUAGGCCGCAACUGACACUGAGGGACGAAAGCUAGGGGAGCGAAUGGG